rnacentral:lncRNA from 1 species
UCAGAACAUCCUAAUCACUAGGCAGAAAUAGGCCCAUGAAAGGGAUUCUACAGGUCAUGUUCCCCAGAGAACAGAUCGGUGAAACCACAAACCCUAUACCCCUAACAUGGCAGUGGAACAGAUUAAAGCUGAAGGCAACGAAUCUUAUCUCCCUAGCGUUGCAGUAGAUUAAAGUUGAAGGCAGCAAAUCUUAUUUCCUUAGCGUUGCACUGGAAUAAAUUAAAGCUGAAGGCAGCGAAUCUUAUUUCUCUAGCGUUGCAGUGGAAUAGAUUAAAGCCACAAAUUAUGGCAGAUUUUAUCUUCUUGAAGUUGCAGUGAAGCAGAUUGAAGCCACCAAUCCUAACUUCCUGAAGUUGCAGUGGAGCGAAUUAAAACCGCAAAUCUCGUUCCCUUUGAAGUCGUGGUAGAGUAGAUUGAAGCUACAAGUCAUAUCUGAGGUUGCAGUAGAGUGAAUCGAAACAACAAGACGCAAUGGGCUAGAAUUGGGCUACUUGAAGAAGAGAAGCAUUAAGAGAGGUUAAGACUCAGCAAGACCAGGCAAAAUUGGUCAUUUUUAAGUCUUUGCUCCAUUUUCGUUACACGACAACGUGCAAAAAAAGGCAGCUGUAAUAGGCCAAUUUUGGCUUGAGCCCAAAACCAAAACAAACACAAAAAUAAACUAAAUAAAUAAAGUCCAAUAAUUAAAAGUCUAUUUACAUUACAAACCCAAACCCUAAAAAACAACCAAACUAAACUCAAAUCACUAAACCUAGCCCAAAACAAAAGAAAAAACAGCAAACCCUAGCAGCAACCUAACUGUCGCUGCCGUCGCCGUCUCUUACGCGCAGCACCUCCAUGUGUGCUACCACAUCUGUACCUGCAAAACAAACUAGAAGAGUCCAAAAGCAAAAAAAUAGUGUAAAAAAUAGAAAAAAUAGAAAAAUAAGUGGUAUUUUCGGGUUAUAAAAAGAGCCCUGAUUUUAUGUUUUUUUUAGUUACGAAUGAAUCAAAAGAAAAUAGAGAAAAAUCAAUUCAAAUACAGACCAUUUUCAAAGGUAGUUGUGUCGUUUUUAUUUUUUUAUUUUUAUUUAUUUAUUUACAUUUAUUUUUAAACAAAAAUGAGAACGAAAAGAUAAAAAUUGUACCUUUUUUGCGAAAGAGGUGCCGAUUUCGAUGAAAAUCAGGGACUUUUGAGUCGGGGAGUCGAAAAGCCCAAAAAAUGGGCAUUUUUGAUUUUUCGGCUUCCGCGAGCGGCAACGCCGUCGCCAGUAGUCGAUGGCCGGUGCAGUGGUUCGGCACUGGAGUCCUAUCGGAUUCUGGAAAGAGAGGAAAAACUUUGAGAGGUUUUUGACGGUUUUUUUUUUGAAGAAAGGAAUCAAAUGAAUUUUUGAUAAAAAAAAGUUAAUUUAUAAAGCUUUUCAAAACGGCGUCGUUUUGAUUUAAAACACCAGGCUCAAAACGGCGCCGUUUCAGGCCCUUGACCCGUGCGGUGACCCCGACCCAGAGGAAGGAUCCGCGUGUUUUUGCUUCAGUGGGAUAUUUGCGCAAAUGGUCCCUCCACUUUUUAUACUUGCUUUAAUUAGAUCCUUUUUAUUUAUUUUUAUUUCUUUUAAUUAAGCUUGUUAAUUUUGUUUUAUCGCAUUUUAAUCCUGGAUGAAGUUACGCGUUUUGGAGGAAGGAAAAAUUACCCUUUUAGUCCCUCCUUGUUAUUCGUGCGUUCAAAAGGGUCAUCCCUUUUUCAUUUACUUCUGAUUUGCCUCAAUUUUUUAAAAGCUUAAUUUAGUCUUUUUUUGUUAUUUUGGCUAUUUUAUUAUUAAUUUAAUUAUCAUAACUAUAUCAUUAAAGCAAUUUGUUUUUACGUUAUUAUUUCCAUUAUAUUUCUUAUUUACUUAUUUAAACACUUUAAAUGCACUUAUUUUUUAUGUAAUUUCAAAACUUUAAACUAUUUAUUUAUUAUUAUUUUUAUUACUACGACCCUAAGUUCACCCAUUGUUAAUAGUCCUUUUAAUAUUUCCUAGAUUAAUUUCCUCAAUGCUAUUUUGUGUGUUUAUUUAUUAAUUCUUUUUUUUUUAAUUUUGAUAUUGUCUUGUUAUGUUUUUUUUUAUAUUAUUGUCACUACCAUUAUUAUUCAUUAUUAUUAUUGUUGAUUUUAUUGUUCUUUGGUUAAUAUUAGUAUUAAAAUAAUAUAUGUUAUGUAAUCAUUAUUGUUGCAUAUGCUAUGAACUGUUUAUUAAUUCGUUUGUAUUAUAAUCAUUUGUUGGUUCGAUAUUUUAGUUUCAUAUCAUUUUAAGUACCGCAUCAAUUUUGACCUAAACGUAUUAAAAUAAUAAUAAGCCAUAUUUCGUAUUUUAGAAUUCGAAAAGUUGAUCCCUAACUUACGGGGCUUCGAUGUUUCUAAUAAAUUCAAAUAUGCGAACUAUUUUUCAAAAACGCAUCUUUUAAAUUUAUCUUGGGAAUUAAAAAAGGAUUGUGACCCAACUUACGGAAUAUGAUUUCUUCUCCGAAACUGAGAUAAUCAGAAAUUUCUAAAAAUAAAUAAGAUUUUCGGUGUUUAUUCUCGUUUCGGGAUGUAAGGUAUUGUGCCCUAACUUACGGGACAUGAUCUUUUUUCUCGAUUAACGUAAAAUACACCCUUUCCUAAUUUUUAAAUGAUUUUAAUCAAGGGAUUAUAUUUUAAAUUUCUUCAAAAUUUUCAAUUUUCGACAUUAAGACAUUAAUUAAUCAAUUAGGUACCAAUUUUGGGCAUGGCGAGGGUGCUAAUCCUUCCUCGCACGUAACCGACUCCCAAAUUUGUUUUUCUCGAGUUUCAUAAGACCAAAAUCAUUGUUUUAGUAAAAUCGAAAUGUUUUAUUAAAACGAUUAAAUUGCAAGGUGAUCCAAUCAUACCUUAAAAAAAAAAUAGUUUUGACAAUAAUAUAAUGGAAAAAUCAAGUAAAACAUUAGAUUGGCAUGAAGCAUAUCAAAUAUAACCAGCUUUGGAAAAACACUUAUUCACCUAUAAUAUCAGCAUUAAGAUCGACAUAAACACUUAUUUAAUCCUAACAUCUAAUUUAAUAUAAACAUUAUAGAAAUGUCUAGUUUUGACAACACUUAAAACAUGCUUUGGAUGACAUUUAAAACAUAUUUUUGGACAACAUUUAAACCUUACUUUGACAGCAUUUGAAACAUACUUUUGCCAGCAUUUAAAGCAUACCAAAUGUUAUAAAAAUACAAACAUGCUUCUACUCAAUUUGAAUCCGAUUAAUAUAUAUAAAUUAACUCCAUAUAACUACUUCAACAUAAAUCAAAUCUUUCUUAGCAUUGGACUAUAGCAAUAAUAAUAUAAAAUAUCAUAACAUACCAAAUUUAAUAAACAUCAAACCAAUCAAUUGUUCACCAUAAACUUCGAGCUAUUCAUAUCGUAAUCAUUUAAUUCAUAUUUUUCGAUUUAAUCCUUUGAUGCCAAAAACAUUAUAUAAAUAACAGUUCAAAUAUUAAGCAAAACAAUAUAAUAAAAAAUGCAUAUUAAUCAAUAAAAUAAAUCUCAUAUGAACUUACCUGACAAAAAUAGCGACACACAAAACGUCAAGGACUAAUUCGCCAAUUAGCUCAAAUCUCGAUCUAUAUAAUAAUUUAUUCCAAUUAUCAGUCUCAAGUGUUUUAUAACGUUCAAUAUAAUGCAUAUUUCUUCCUAUUAAUAUUUUCAAAAUUUCCCUAAAAUUUUUCAUUUUAUUCAAUUUAGUCUUUAAAACCGAAACAAGCUUAACUUUCAUAUUUGAGCUAAACCCAUUUCAAUUUCAUCCUUCAACAGCCCUUUAUUAUCAAUAAUUACAUAAAUUUCAUAUCAAUUUUGAUAUACUCACGAUUUAGUCACUAUGUUCAAAAUUAACAAUUUUCACUUUACGAAUUAGUCAUUUUUCAUAUCUAAACUUAAAAGUUAACCAUUUAACACCAAAACUUCAAACAUUCAACUAAAGUAAUGCACUCAAAUUUUAACAAUAACAAAUUUUUUCACAUGGGUUAAUUAACUUAAAGUACCAUAAUUCUAAAAACAUAAAAAUUAUGAAAAAAGAACUAAAUUGAACUAACCAAAUUUAGCUCAAGACUUUUGAACUCUGGUCGUGCGUUUUUCUUUUCUCCCCUGCACCGAGCUUGGAAG